rnacentral:rRNA from 1 species
UACGGGGGGGGCAAGCGUUGUUCGGAAUUACUGGGCGUAAAGGGCUCGUAGGCGGCCAACUAAGUCGGAUGUGAAAUCCCCAGGCUUAACCUGGGAACUGCAUCCGAUACUGGAUGGCUUGAAUCCGGGAGAGGGAUGCAGAAUUCCAGGUGUAGCGGUGAAAUGCGUAGAUAUCUGGAGGAAUACAGGUGGCGAAGGCGGCAUCCUGGACCGGCAUUGACGCUGAGGAGCGAAAGCUAGGGGAGCAAACGGG